CUACGUGCCAGCAGCCGCGGUAAUACGGAGGAUUCGAGCGUUAUCCGGAUUUACUGGGUUUAAAGGGUGCGCAGGCGGGCUCUUAAGUCAGCGGUGAAAUGUCCGGGCUUACCCUGGGCCUUGCCGUUGAUACUGGGAGUCUUGGAUAAGCAUAAGGACGGCGGAAUGCGUAGUGUAGCGGUGAAAUGCUUAGAUAUUACGUAGAAGACCGAUUGCGAAGGCAGCUGUCUGGGUCUUUAUCGACGCUCAAGCACGAAAGCGUGGGUAGCGAACAGGAUUAGAUACCCUGGUAGUCCACGCCGUAAACGAUGAUCACUCGCUCUUGGCGAUAUGCUGUCAGGGGCUAAGCGAAAGCGUUAAGUGAUCCACCUGGGGAGUACGACCGCAAGGUUGAAACUCAAAGGAAUUGACGGGGGCCCGCACAAGCGGAGGAACAUGUGGUUUAAUUCGAUGAUACGCGAGGAACCUUACCUGGGCUAGA
rnacentral:rRNA from 1 species